rnacentral:rRNA from 1 species
UACGUAGGGAGCAAGCGUUGUUCGGAUUUAUUGGGCGUAAAGAGCUCGUAGGCGGUUCGGCAAGUCGGAUGUGAAAUCUCCAGGCUCAACCUGGAGGGGUCAUUCGAUACUGCCGUGACUAGAGGUCGGUAGGGGAGUGUGGAAUUCCUGGUGGAGCGGUGAAAUGCGCAGAUAUCAGGAGGAACACCCGUAGCGAAGGCGGCACUCUGGGCCGAUACUGACACUGAGGAGCGAAAGCGUGGGGAGCGAACAGG